rnacentral:RNase_P_RNA from 1 species
UAAGCAAGACAGACGAUCGCGGCUGCAUUUAUGCAGGUGAGGAAAGUCCGGGCUUCGCAGGGCAGGAUGCCGGAUAACGUCCGGUGGAGGUGACUCCAAGGCUAGUGCAACAGAAAUAUACCGCCAGCGUGCUUUGCUAAGAGUAAAGUGAUUUGUCGCGCGCUUAGCCGCGCAAAAUUGUCACUCAUCGUAAAUUGCGUAAUAAUUUGUUACAUGCUUUGCUUUUGGUAAAUCAAAAUUGUCAUAUGCAAUGAUUAGCGUGCUUUGCCGUGUUAAAUGACAUUAAUUUGAAUUACGCAGCAAUCUGUAGCGCACUUUGCCGCGCAAAGCGAUGAAGUGUAUGGUAACGAAAGCAGUUUAAAUACUUUGCGCUUAGCAAAGUACGCUGGUAAGGGUGGAAAGGUGGCUUAAGAGACCACCGUCCGGCCGGUAACGGUCGGAGCCAUGUAAACCCCAUCCGAAGCAAGACUAAAUAGGGAGCAACAGGGUCGGCCCGGCCUGCUUCCGGGUAAGUCGCUUGAGACGGCCGGCAACGGCCGUACUAGAUAGAUGAUCGUCAGUAUCUUUUGAUACCUACAUAACCCGGCUUAUAGUCUUACUUACAUU